GAUAGAUUCCCAGAAGUGGGAUAACUGGAUCAGAGGGUGGUUACCCUGUAUAAGAAUGUGUGUCUCACUGCACCUUCAAUGGCAUUGAGUAGCACCCUUCUUGUCUUAAAAAAGUCACCAGCAAGCAUCUUCAAGAUUUUUCCACUUCCCUCAGAUGUCUGGAUAACUCUGUUCUUUAAUUUCCCCUCACUUUUAGAUGAAGUUUAAAAAUUGUCAGUAUUUAAACAGACCACAUCAUGCGUGAGUACAAGCUAGUGGUCCUUGGUUCAGGAGGCGUGGGGAAGUCUGCUCUGACAGUUCAGUUUGUUCAGGGAAUUUUUGUUGAAAAAUAUGACCCGACGAUAGAGGAUUCCUACAGAAAGCAAGUUGAAGUAGAUUGCCAACAGUGUAUGCUGGAAAUCCUGGACACAGCAGGAACAGAGCAAUUUACAGCAAUGAGGGAUUUAUAUAUGAAGAAUGGCCAAGGAUUCGCACUAGUAUAUUCUAUUACAGCUCAGUCCACAUUUAAUGACUUACAGGACUUGAGGGAACAGAUUUUACGGGUUAAGGAUACAGAAGAUGUUCCAAUGAUUUUGGUUGGCAAUAAAUGUGAUCUGGAAGAUGAGCGAGUAGUUGGCAAAGAACAGGGCCAGAAUUUAGCAAGACAGUGGUGUAACUGUGCCUUUUUAGAAUCUUCUGCAAAGUCAAAGAUCAACGUUAAUGAGAUUUAGUUCAGAGAGAUGAGGAAGAACCUAGGCUGGGGACUUUCAGCAUUUCUAACCAAAUAUUAUAGUUCGAACUUGUCCUCAUCACUGAACCAUCUGCUGCUGUGAGAUAUUUUAUGACCUGGUCAGACAGAUAAAUAGAAAAACACCAGUGGAAAAGAAGAAGCCUAAAAAGAAAUCAUGCCUGCUGCUCUAGACCCAAAGUCAGCAGCAGCUCUGAGCCAGAUUACAGGAAUGAAGAACUGUUGCCUACUUGGAAAGUGCCAGCAUUCCAGACUUCAAAAAAUAAAUCUGAAGAGGCUUCUCCUGUUUUAUAUAUUAUGUGAAGAAUUUAGAUCUUAUGUUGGUUUGCACAAGUUCCCUGGAGAAAAAAAAAAUUUUGCUCUGUGUAUAUCUCUUGGAAAAUAAGACAAUAGCAUUUCUCCUUUGCAAUAGCAGUUAUAACAGAUGUGAAAAUAAAUAUACUUGACUCUAAUACAAUUAUACAAAAGAGCAUGGAUGCAUUUCAAAUGUUAGAUAUUGCUACUAUAAUCAAAUGAUUUCAUAUUGACCUUUUUAUCAUGAUUCCUCCCUGUUAAGCACUAAAAGUUGAAUCAUUAUACUUUAUAUCUGUAAAGAUAUAAUCAAUUAUGAAAUUUCCCCUCAAACUCAUUGCAGCAGAUAACUUUUUUGAGUCAUUGACUUCAUUUUAUAUUUAAAAAAUUAUGAGAUAUCAUCUGUCAUUAUAUUCUAAUUAAAAUUGUUUGUGCAUAAUGCUUUGGAAAAAAAAUGGGUCUUUUAUAGGAAAAACUGGGAUAACUGAUUUCUAUAGCUUUCAAAGCUAAAAUAUAUAAUAUACUAAACCAACUCUAAUAUGGCUUCUUGUGUUUUACUGUCAGAUUAAAUUACAGCUUUUAUGGAUGAUUAAAUUUUAGUACAUUUUCAUUUGGUUUGUGUGUUUUUGUUAUUGUUUAUAGAUUUAAGGACUUUAUUUUAUAAUGACCACAUUGUUUUAAAUGCGACAGUAGCUCCUUUCUGCCUGGUAUCUGCAGAAUUCUUGGCUUUAAACUAUACUAACUGGUGAUUUCUGUAGGAACAGACCUCCUACUUCCUGUUCCAGAUAAUAUUUAUUCCUACUAUACAGUAUAAUACAUCAGACUACAUAGAAUAGUUUUGUAUAUUCUCUCUUGAUCUUAAACAUUGUAUCUUGCUGAAUAAAAUAUCCCACUGUGUAUUAUUUUUAUAUGUAAAGAGAUAAGUUUAAUACUGUAUCAGGGUUUAACUUUUACUAUUUCAAAUCUUCCACAGCUUGUAAUUUUAUUAAGGAAAUCCUUUUGCCAUUGUUAAUUUGUUGGGUGUGGGUCCACCAAUGAAGUGUUAUGUAAAAGCUUUCAAACUUGCUUUAUAAUAGAUUAAAGAUUUUGAGAGAAGUAAGUGAAAGUUAAAACACAUAAAAAGAAUGUGUUAAUUACUUUUGCUUUGACUAUAUGAAGUAGUAUAGUAGUAGUAAUAUGAAAAAGAUUACUAAGUUAAAAUUUUAGCUGGCUAUAUAGUGGUGCUUUUCUUUUCCUUCCCAAUUAUUUCCAUUUUUAGAAAAGAUGGGGCUUAAGUAGGGCAUGGACCCAGGAUGAUGUUGCUUAUGUGUUCUCCAUAAAGAAAGAGAGCCAACAGCUUGUUAGCCAGUGAAGUACUGGAGAAGGAAAGAAACAAGCUUAGGAAGCCUGUGCCUUGUCCCUGAAUAUCAAGGAGGAGAUCAGUCCUAGAAAGUCUAAAUCAUUGCUCAGGGAUUUAGAUACUGUCUCAUUGCAACUAGGUGUGAAACAGUGUUCAUGCCUUGCUGUGAUUUUUUUUUUUCCAGGAGUGUGGUCAGCCCAUUAGUUACUGAAUUGACAUUUAAAAGUCAGCUUUCAAAUGUAAGUUCUUUCCAGCCUGAGAAAAUGUUAAAAAUAUUGUUUUUAAAAAUUGGAAAUUGUAUUUUUUUUGAGUUUCUAAUAAACUUAGUUGCCUAAUAACACUUCCCUCUUCUGAUCCAAUAUGCAUAUGUCCAUGAUUGAGAUUGAGGGGCAAAAAAUAUAUAUAAUAAAUUUUAAAAAUCAGUGAAACAUUAGGGCCAAUUUGUUCAGGUCAGUGAGGUUUGCUUUGUUUUUGUUUUUUGUUUUUGAAAUGUGGUUUCACUAUGUUGCCCAUACUGGCUUCAAACUCCUGGACUCAAAUGAUUCUACCACCUCAGCCUCCCAAAUAGCUGGGACCACAGAUGAGCGUGUUCCCAACUUAGAGACAUACUCUUAAUUUAAGUCCUCUUAAGUUCUACUUUAAACACCUCUCAAACUUUUCAUAGAAAAACAUGCAAACCCGAGAACUUUCUAUGUUACAUAGGUUGUUUAAUUAUUUGUUACAUUAAAUACAAAUUAUUAAAUAAGACUUAACUUUCAGUCGGCUUGACAAGUAGCAUAAACUCACUGUCCUCUCCUUUAGAAUAAUAGUGGAGAAAGAUGAUUGUUGUUGGAUUCUCUGUCACAUCUUACACAGUCUACUUGGUUUAAAGGUGGAACUACCAAGAAAAGGUGCUUUUUUAGCACACUGGUGAGCAGAGCAAGACCAACUGAAAUCGAGAGACGAGCAGUGUUAAUCUCAAGAAAAUCUGUGGUUGCCCAGCAAGCCAGAAAGGCAUCCUGGGAGAAAAUGAGAAGGGUGUGUUUUUGUAUUGUCCCUAUGUGAACUUCUUAGUCUUGGUUCCAGUGGAAAGAUAUAUUUUUGUAGCUGAAAAAUCAAUAGACUAGGAUAUUACACAAGUCUCCUGUGAUAAAUAUCUAGGAACUGAAAGAACCCAUAUUAGUAUUUGAGGCUAUUUAAAGUAUAAUAGCUUUGGUUAUAUGAGUAACAUAUAAUUUAAAGAAGAUUUGAUGCCACAUUUAAUAGUUUUCUUUUUCCAACUAAAAACAAACCACUUUAAUGGCUUAUUAGUGCUCCCAGUCUAGGUUUAGAAAUUAAGUGAAUACAUAAUCUAACUAUAAUCUUUCCCUCCACCAGGGGGAGUUUCAGUAUUGGUAACACUGCUACAAGCCUUGCAAGUAUUCAAGCCAUCUCUUUUACACACACUGCAUUCCUCCCAGAGUCAUCUAGGCUCCCUCAAGAGUUUACAAUCUAGUUGGGCAGGAAAGAUACACAAAUCAAAUUCAUCCAAGAUAUGGAUAACAAUAACUUACUGAACUUGAGUCCCCUCUCAAGAAUGGAGAAAUGCAGGGCUGGGGAUAUAGCUCAGUUGGUAGAGUGCUUCCCUCAUGAGCAUAAAGCCCUUGGUUCAAUCCCUAGCACCAUUAAAAAAAAAAAAAACAGAAUAGAGAAAUGCAGGUGUUGAUGUGUUGCCCGCUUCUUCCUCAACUCUGAACUCAUAUCUGUUUGGUACCUUGAUCUGCCACCACCAAUGGCCAUCUUUCACUCCUCAGUGAAACAGUCAAUUCUUUGAAGUUAAUGUACUUGGAAAACUUAAUAUUUAGGGGAAAUAUCUUUAUUUUAUUACAGAAUUUAUUAAAACAGGUGACUUGGUGUGUAGUUAUUCUUUACAUAUGAAUAAUAAUAAAAACAUUCUGCAUUUUGUA